UGGAUUUGUCCCAGCACAAGGUGCACCUGUGUAAUGAUCAUGCUGUUUAAUCAGCUUCUUGAUAUGCCACACCUGACAUUUCUGAGCUCUUUUAUUUCAGCUCAUAAAACAUCAGACCAGCACUUUACAUUAGUGUUUAUAUUAGUGUUCAGUCCUCCAACCAGGGGAGAGGGGAAAGGGAUAAGAAAAGCUGUUUGACAUCACAGCAUAGUUUAGUAGCCCACAGUUGAUGACCGACACAUGCAAUGGGACAGCCGUGGGUGUGUGUGCUAAUCCAGCGCUAUCAGGUACCUCUCCACGGGACUUUCCACACUGCCAGAGCCAGAAGCACACCAGGACAGAUAAAAUAAUGAGAGGCAUAGCAUAUUUAGCAGGUCUGAGUCUACUUAUUCAGUUUGGUGAGAAUGUGGAUCCUUACCUGUGCACCCACCUGGUCUACACUUUUGCCAUCAUGAAUUAUGCUAAUGAGCUCAUCACCUACGAGUGGAACGACAAGACCCUCUACAAGUCUUUCACCGCCUUGAAGACCAAGUAAUAGUUUCUGAUGAUGAAUACAAUUAAAUCAAUUUUGUAUCUAUUAAAAUGGUAAUUUGUUGCUCAUUUGGUAAAACACUACAUUUCUCUUUUUUACUAGGCAAGUCAGUUAAGAACAAAUUCUUAUUUACAAUGACGGCCUACUGGGGAACAGCGG
rnacentral:lncRNA from 1 species